GGCAUCUACUGCACUAACAAUUGCAAUACGGAGUGGCAGAUUUAAUCAUCAAAUCUACAAGUCUUCCCUGUUCUCUGAUGUCACAGAUUGUUAGUUUUGGGGACCCUGUUGUGCAGCUAGGAGAAUUCUCUCAGAUCCAAUGAAGCCAAAAGACUCAGAACAAAAUUGAAAAGGAAUUGCAGUGUUUUAUUUGAUUUCCAUACUGAAAUCCAUGCUGGCUGUAAUGGAAGCAUUGAUUCAGACCCUGUUUAUAUUUACCUUCAUUGGACAGGAACUUGAACACGGGUCUCUGACCUCUAAGGUGAGAGUGUACUAACCACCAGGCUACUGGUUAUGUUUGAAUGAAGACUCCCUCAGUUUCUCUUGUUGGAGCUGUAGGAACAUUGAUUGGUGCAAACUGAAAUGGAUUCAACUACAUUCCAGUCUCAAAGGGCUCCUGUGGGUGACUUUAAAAAUAAAGGGCAUCAUUUCUGCACCAUGGAAGUUUGGACAAGACAACAAUACUUCAAAAACAAUGUCAGUUGAAGGUAUUAUCUUAUGAUAUCCUUUGACUCAAGUUGAAGUCAGUGGAAGUUGAGAAUACUCAUCUUAAGGGCUCAACUUUGAAAUGCACCAUCUCCAAGAAAAUUGUAUUUAGGCAAAAUUAAUGUUCAUUAAUGCUCAUAUUCCUCCCCUUUUUUAAGCUUACAGUACUUAAUACCAAAAGAACAAGGAGACAUGAAUACAUUUACUAGAAUUCACAUGCAAGAGUUAAGCCACUGAGAAAUAAUGCAAUAUUUUAGUUGUUUUACAGCCCUUCAGUUAACAUACAUUCUUGAUUACAUGAUUUAUACUGUCAUGACAUGUUUAAAAACAGCACAUCUCUGUGUCAUUAGGACAAUAAAGCUAUAUUAUACUGAUUUUCUUAUUACCUCUACAAAUGUACCAUUGUAAGGAAAUUAAGUUUUGAUGUAUACUGUAAAGAAAAUGUCAACUUGUAAGAAGAGUUUCCAUUAAAAAAACCCAAACUUCACUAACUUAA